GCCGAAGUGGCGGAACUGGCAGACGCGCGCGACUCAAACUCGCGUGCCCGUAAGGGCUUGUGGGUUCGAUUCCCACCUUCGGCA
rnacentral:tRNA from 1 species